ACUCUCUCUUUACGGGCUUGAGAAACACAGCCGCAAAGUCCUCUCCGCUUUGCCUUCUAGGAGCGACUUUACCUUUAAAUGUUGUUAGGGGUCGAGGACAAACUCAUAUCCUAUAUUGAGGAAAGCUGGAAAGGGACAAGAGAAAAAUUCAAAAUUUUCUCCCGAUCAGUAAUGUAUCCAGAGCUGGCGCCCGGAUCCUGCGGAACCUUAUCCAAUGAUCCAGAGAAUGGAAUGGUUAGAAUUGAGUUAGAAUACCUGAAAGUCCAGUGCUAAUUCCUCCUGAGAUUUACUCAACAAGUUUCAUCCACUG
rnacentral:lncRNA from 1 species